AUUACCAUCAUCCCCAUCUUACAAAAGCCCAGAGAUUUUUUGACAGUUGCAGAUCUCCCUGAGAUCUAGAGCCUUCAAGAGGGCAGCUGAUGGCUCCUUAGCACCUUUUGUGCCUCACCUUGCCUGUGCCCAUGUAAGUUCACACCUAGGAUGGUCCUCUCCACCUGAGGGGCAGGGUGAGUUCACCUCCACCUGGCUGGGAGAGCUGGAGGGGUGGGACCCUCAGUCAAUUGGCAGGGUCCUCAAUAAAGGAGGUGCCCAGAGAAGCAUAGAAGCUUCUGGAUCAUGUUGUAAUGCCUACAGCCAGAUCUGACCAGGUUAUAAAACAAGGUCCCCGCCAAAGGCUCCCUUUGAGUGGUCUUCUCAGAGCUGCAGGUCUGUGAACUGGAGCCCUCCCCUUAGACUGGGACACCAUCUAAGGCGCUUUCUUGGGACUGAUUGUGCCUCACCUCCUUGUCUGGUGAGUGGUUACUAUUCUGUACUGGAUACAUCCUUGAAUGAGACGUCGCCUAACUCAGUGAGAUACCUGUGCAAACCUAACAAUGAAGACUUUAAACUAAGACUUGAGUGUGCAGCUCCACAACUCAGAAGAACAAAAUAGGUUCCCAUUAAUGAGGAGUUUCAAUUUAUAGGGGAAAGUAUAAACAUUAAAGAAAGGGAGCUGAUAAGAUUACACAGUAGAGAAGAAGGCGAGAAAAUUGAUAACACCAUGAAACACUUAUAUACCCAAUUAAAGAAACUAACAUCCUCUCAGAUAACACUCCUUUGUUCAUGUGAAUUUAUGAGGAGUGCCUUCACAUCUGUUUUCCUGAAAAUAAAUUGGUUUUGUGUAGCUUGAAGUCCAGAAAUUUACUAUAAACAAUGACCACCACCACUUUGAUUACUUUACUGCACAUUAACUGUGAGAACUAAACUUGCAGCUAGGAAGAUGCUCUAGCAAGUGCCUGAAAUAGAUGCAUAUGCAAAGUAUAUGUUUGCAAAUAUGUCAAAUGCUUAACUGUAGAUGGAGAGGUAACCACCCAGAAAAGUAAAUAUUUCUCACAAAGAAAUAGAAAGAAAUGAGUAAUCAUAGUUUUUAUCCGUCUGCACUUACCUUAUGAGCAGAGUAUGCUUUAUUUAGUUGCAAGUCUCAUAUAAGAUCUCAUUAAAGUACCUAGUUAUAAUCUAGUGUAGCAGCUAGCAUAAAUUUAGCCUAGUUAGCACAGAUAUUGUAUAAGUCUGUGAACUUUACCUGUUUGUUUUUGUUUGUUUGUUUGUUUCUCUAUGUAGUAGAAGUAGAAACAAACAUGGCCUACCUUAAACAACAGAUUAAUUUUGAUGUGAUUAAGGAGGUAGGUGGACAAGCAACCCAUUGAUCACCAAGAAGUGCAAAGUGUCCAAAGGUGUGCAAAUAUCCAUUCAAUUUGCACAGCCUAAGCAUCAUCAAGGUGUUCUCCACUCAACCCUAAAGCUAAGGACACAUAACAAUACUGGAGUAACUAAGAGUUCUUGAAGAAGGCUCCAGGGAUGGACAUUCCACAGCCCUUCAGCAGGAUCUGAGAACAUUCCUCCAGCCUCAGGGAGCCCAGGGAGCAGAAAAGAGCCCAUGACAUUUCGUCAGGACUGCGUGUAGCACGGCACGAUCCACCAGACUGGCCUGCGUAACCUUCCUCUGGAUCUGCACCAUCACUCCUUUGAAGUGGGGAAGUUGUGUAAUUCAUAAAAUUGCAUAUAUCUGUGAUUAAAGUGGUUUGGUAACCAAA